rnacentral:rRNA from 1 species
GAGUUUGAUCCUGGCUCAGAGCGAACGCUGGCGGCAGGCCUAAUACAUGCAAGUCGAGCGCACCUUCGGGUGAGCGGCGGACGGGUGAGUAACGCGUGGGAAUGUGCCCUUUGGUACGGAACAACUGAGGGAAACUUCAGCUAAUACCGUAUGUGCCCUUCGGGAAAGAUUUAUCGCCAUUGGAGCAGCCCGCGUUGGAUUAGCUAGUUGGUGGGGUAAAGGCCCACCAAGGCGACGAUCCAUAGCUGGUCUGAGAGGAUGAUCAGCCACACUGGGACUGAGACACGGCCCAGACUCCUACGGGAGGCAGCAGUAGGGAAUCUUGCGCAAUGGGCGAAAGCCUGACGCAGCCAUGCCGCGUGAAUGAUGAGGGCCUUCGGGUUGUAAACUACUUUCGUACGGGACGAUAAUGACGGUACCCGUACGAAGAAGACUCCGGCUAACUUCGUGCCAGCAGCCGCA